AUUUCUAAAACUGCUU
rnacentral:sRNA from 1 species